UACAGAGGUCUCAAGCGUUGUUCGGAUUCAUUGGGCGUAAAGGGUGCGUAGGUGGCGGGGCAAGUCAGGUGUGAAAUCUCGGGGCUCAACCCCGAAACUGCACUUGAUACUGCCUUGCUAGAGUACUGGAGAGGAGAUUGGAAUUACGGUGUAGCAGUGAAAUGCGUAGAUAUCGUAAGGAAGACCAGUGGCGAAGGCGGGUCUCUGGACAGUUCCUGACACUGAGGCACGAAGGCCAGGGGAGCAAACGGG
rnacentral:rRNA from 1 species